rnacentral:rRNA from 1 species
AUGGUGAGCUGCGUUGAAAGCCUUCCUACUAUUGUUGUUCAGUUGAUACCGAGCUUGCUGAUGAACUAUUGCCUUGAAGGAUUGUGCCUGAUUUUGAAACAUGUAAAAGGAUCUCAAUAUUUUGUAGACCAUACAUAUGGGAUUGUGCAUUUCCAACAGAAAAACAACAGAAUUUAUGUAAUUGUCAUUUUUUAUUGUAAACGUCCCAAAUGUGAUCGUGCAUCAGGCAGGCAAGAUAAUAGUUCAUGUAGUAUAAAGUGUAGUACUUGUCACCGAGAUUUGACGCAUUUAUUACUUUCUAGAGGAGUGACCCGCGCAUUUUUAUGGCUAGAUUCACACUGUAUAUUGUUGUAUCCUGGAUUAUUUUUCUCUAUCCUUUUCAUUUUGACACAAAUUAUAUGGCAUACAAAUAUACUGUAG